rnacentral:rRNA from 1 species
AGUGAACGCUGGCGGUAGGCCUAACACAUGCAAGUCGAACGGCAGCACAGUAAGAGCUUGCUCUUACGGGUGGCGAGUGGCGGACGGGUGAGUAAUACAUCGGAAUCUACUUUUUCGUGGGGGAUAACGUAGGGAAACUUACGCUAAUACCGCAUACGACCUACGGGUGAAAGCAGGGGAUCUUCGGACCUUGCGCGAUUGAAUGAGCCGAUGUCGGAUUAGAUAGUUGGCGGGGUAAAGGCCCACCAAGGCGACGAUCCGUAGCUGGUCUGAGAGGAUGGUCAGCCACACUGGAACUGAGACACGGUCCAGACUACUACGGGAGGCAGCAGUGGGGAAUAGUAGACAAUGGGCGGAAGCCUGGUCCAGCCAUACCGAGUGGGUGAAGAAGGCCCUCGGGUUUGAAAGCCCUUUUGUUGGGAAAGAAAAGCAGAAGGUGAAAACCCCGCUGUUCUGACGGUACCCAAAGAAUAAGCACCGGCUAACUUCGUG